UCCCAUUUUGGGGGGAAAUUUUGGGGGAAAAAUUCCCAUUUUGGGGAUGGAUUUUAGGGUGAAAAAUUCCUUUUUUGGGGUAAAAAUUCCCAUUUUUGCAGCAGGUUGCUGGGUGGAAUUUGGGGUAAAAUUGCUCAAUUUAAGGGGUGGCUUUUGGGGUAAAAAUUCCUAUUUUGGGGCUGGAAUUUGGGGUGAAAAUGUCCCAUUUGGGGGUGGAAUUUUGGGUGAAAAAUGCCCAAUUUGGGGGUUGGAUUUUGGGGUGAAAACCACCAAUUUUUGGGGCAUAAUUUGGGGUAGAAAUGUUGGAUUUUGGGGUCGUUUUUAGGAUGAAAAUGCCCAGUUUGGGGGUUGUUUUUAGGGUGAAAACGCUCAGUUUGCAGGUGGAUUUUGGGAUGGAAACGCCCGCUCUGAGGGCGGAUUUUAGGGUCACGGCGGGGUCACGGCGGGGUCACCGCUGGGGCCGGCCCCUCCCCCCACCCACCCAGGCCGGCGCUCCAGGGACCCUCGGCUCCGCCCCCCGAAGCUCCGCCCCCUGACUUCAGGCCCUGCCCCCUUUUAA